rnacentral:rRNA from 1 species
AACUGCGAAUGGCUCAUUAAAUCAGUUAUCGUUUAUUUGAUAGUACCUUACUACAUGGAUACCUGUGGUAAUUCUAGAGCUAAUACAUGCUGAAAACCCCGACUUCGGAAGGGGUGUAUUUAUUAGAUAAAAAACCAACGCCCUUCGGGGCUCCUUGGUGAUUCAUAAUAACUUAACGAAUCGCAUGGCCUUGCGCCGGCGAUGGUUCAUUCAAAUUUCUGCCCUAUCAACUUUCGAUGGUAGGAUAGUGGCCUACCAUGGUGGCAACGGGUAACGGGGAAUUAGGGUUCGAUUCCGGAGAGGGAGCCUGAGAAACGGCUACCACAUCCAAGGAAGGCAGCAGGCGCGCAAAUUACCCAAUCCCGAUACGGGGAGGUAGUGACAAUAAAUACUGAUACGGGGCUCUUUUGGGUCUCGUAAUUGGAAUGAGUACAAUCUAAAUCCCUUAACGAGGAACAAUUGGAGGGCAAGUCUGGUGCCAGCAGCCGCGGUAAUUCCAGCUCCAAUAGCGUAUAUUAAAGUUGUUGCAGUUAAAAAGCUCGUAGUUGAACCUUGGGUCUGGCUGGCCGGUCCGCCUCACCGCGAGUACUGUCCGGCUGGACCUUUCCUUCUGGGGAACCCCAUGGCCUUCACUGGCUGUGGGGGGAACCAGGACUUUUACUGUGAAAAAAUUAGAGUGUUCAAAGCAGGCCUUUGCUCGAAUACAUUAGCAUGGAAUAAUAGAAUAGGACGUGCGGUUCUAUUUUGUUGGUUUCUAGGACCGCCGUAAUGAUUAAUAGGGAUAGUCGGGGGCGUCAGUAUUCAGCUGUCAGAGGUGAAAUUCUUGGAUUUGCUGAAGACUAACUACUGCGAAAGCAUUCGCCAAGGAUGUUUUCAUUAAUCAGGGAACGAAAGUUAGGGGAUCGAAGACGAUCAGAUACCGUCGUAGUCUUAACCAUAAACUAUGCCGACUAGGGAUCGGACGGUGUUUCUAUUAUGACCCGUUCGGCACCUUACGAGAAAUCAAAGUUU